UACGGUGGGGGCAAGCGUUGUUCGGAAUUACUGGGCGUAAAGGGCUCGUAGGUGGCCAACUAAGUCAGACGUGAAAUCCCUCGGCUUAACCGGGGAACUGCGUCUGAUACUGGAUGGCUUGAGUUCGGGAGAGGGAUGCGGAAUUCCAGGUGUAGCGGUGAAAUGCGUAGAUAUCUGGAGGAACACCGGUGGCGAAGGCGGCAUCCUGGACCGACACUGACACUGAGGAGCGAAAGCCAGGGGAGCAAACGGG
rnacentral:rRNA from 1 species